rnacentral:lncRNA from 1 species
UCAGCUGCAUCAUCGAAUUUAGGAGGGUUUGCGCUUAGCAGAUGAUACAAGAAAGCUAUUACUAGUCCAGACUAGAGUGCCUUGGAUGUAGAUGGCUGCACACCCAUGGAAAACUCGUGAUCAUACAACAUAGGCCCCACAUAAUCCGUGCCGUCUAUUCCAUGCAUCUCGAUCGGCAGCCGCCUGUGUGGGUCCUCCUUUGGUAAGAUUCUACCAGACGACGGCCCACCCACGCCCGGCCCAGGUAAGUCCACUCCGGGUAACGCCACACCCAGUAGCUUCCCCUGAGGCAGCCAGAGAUGGUGACAAAUAUAC